rnacentral:rRNA from 1 species
CAGGAUGAACGCUGGCGGCGUGCUUAACACAUGCAAGUCGAACGGAAGUUUAACGCUGACGAGACUUCGGUCAAAUCUUGUUAAACUUUAGUGGCGGACGGGUGAGUAACGCGUGGGUAACCUGCCGUAUGCAGGGGGACAACAGUUGGAAACGACUGCUAAUACCGCAUAAGCGCACGGUUUUGCAUGAAACAGUGUGAAAAGAUUUAUCGGCAUACGAUGGACCCGCGUUUGAUUAGCUAGUUGGUGAGGUAACGGCCCACCAAGGCUACGAUCAAUAGCCGGCCUGAGAGGGCAAUCGGCCACAUUGGGACUGAGACACGGCCCAAACUCCUACGGGAGGCAGCAGUGGGGAAUAUUGCACAAUGGGGGAAACCCUGAUGCAGCGAACCGCCGCGUGAGUGAAGAAGUAUUUCGGUAUGUAAAGCUCUAUCAGCAGGGAAGAUGAUGACGGUACCUGACUAAGAAGCCCCGGCUAACUACGUGCCAGCAGCGGC